rnacentral:lncRNA from 1 species
UCAAAUUCUUAGCUAAUUAAUCUUCGAAGCUAAAAACAACAUGAAAAAAAUGAUAAAAGAAGGCAAAUAAAGGAAGCUUAAAUAAUAAUAAAAAUUAAUAAAAGUGAGAAAGAAGAGAUGAACCUGAAAUCUGAAAGGCUAACUUAAAGGAUUUUAAUCGCUUGUGACCUCGUCACAUAUCUCGCAGCAUUUCCUUCCUUUUUCUUUCCCUGUAAAAUUUCACCAUAAAUUAUGAGAAAAAAAUCCUUACAAUAAGUCAAAUCUGAAAAUUUAAAUCGCUAAUUUGAAAGCAAUAAAGUUCGAAAGAACUUGCCGGAGGUCGGUACAUACUGAAUGGUGAGCCAAUAGAUGGGUGACUUCACCAGAUGGUAGAUUGUC